AAAUAUGAAGUGAUAUCACGAUAAGCUGCAAACUUAUAAAUGCAUAUAGCCAUAUUUA
rnacentral:tRNA from 1 species